rnacentral:rRNA from 1 species
UGUCCACCGAAAGCCUAAGGUUUCCUGGGGAAGGCUCGUCCUCCCAGGGUUAGUCGGGACCUAAGCUGAGGCCGAAAGGCGUAGGCGAUGGACAACUGGUUGAUAUUCCAGUACCACCUCUGUUCCGUUUGAGCAAUGGCGUGACGCAGGAGGAUAGGGUGAGCGGCCUAUUGGAUGGCCGUCUAAGCAGUAAGUGUGGUGUGUAGGCAAAUCCGCACACUAGUAAGCACAAGCUGUGAUGGCGAGGGAAAUAUA